rnacentral:rRNA from 1 species
UACAGAGGUCCCAAGCGUUGUUCGGAUUCACUGGGCGUAAAGGGUGCGUAGGAGGUUGGCAAAGUCGGGUGUGAAAUCUCACCGCUUAACGGUGAAAUGGCGCUCGAUACUGGUUGACUAGAGUACUGGAGGGGAAAGCGGAAUUCCUGGUGUAGCGGUGAAAUGCGUAGAUAUCAGGAGGAACACCAGUGGCGAAGGCGGCUUUCUGGACGGUAACUGACGCUGAGACGCGAAAGCGUGGGGAGCAAACAGG